rnacentral:rRNA from 1 species
GACGAACGCUGGCGGCGUGCUUAACACAUGCAAGUCGAACGAAGUGGCGAACGGGUGAGUAACGCGUAAUCAACCUGCCCUUCAGAGGGGGAAAACAGUUGGAAACGACUGCUAUUACCGCAUACUGAAGGAGGGGAUUGCGUCUGAUUAGCUAGUUGGAGGGGUAACGGCCCACCAAGGCGAGGAUCAGUAGCCGGUCUGAGAGGAUGAACGGCCACAUUGGGACUUGGACACGGCCCAGACUCCUACGGGAGGCAGCAGGGGGGAAUCUUCCGCAAUGGACGAAAGUCUGACGGAGCAACGCCGCGUGAGUGAUGACGGCCUUCGGGUUGUAAAGCUCUGUUAAUCGGGACGCGGUACCGGAAUAGAAAGCCACGGCUAACUACGUGCCAGCAGCCGCGGUAAUUC